AGCUCCAAUAGCGUAUAUUAAAGUUGUUGCGGUUAAAAGCUCGUAGUUGGAUUUCUGUUUGAGACGGCCGGUCCGCACUUAGUGCGUGUAUCUGGUUUGGCUCGGGCAUCCUCGUGGGGAUCGUUUCUGUGCUUCAUUGCAUGGGGCGGAAUUCACGACUUUUACUUUGAGGAAAUUAGAGUGUUCACGGCAAGCAAUCGCUUUGAAUACAUUAGCAUGGAAUAAUAAUAUAGGGCUUGCGUUCUAUUUUGUUGGUUUCUAGAACAUAAGCAAUGAUUAAUAGGGACAAUUGGGGGCAUUCGUAUUAACGCGUCAGAGGUGGAAUUCUUAGAUUGCGUUACGACGAACUACUGCGAAAGCAUUUGCCAAGGAUGUUUUCA
rnacentral:rRNA from 1 species